AAGCCGAGCGGUAGAGAUCUUUCGGGAUCUUGAGAGCGGCGUACGGGUGCGGAACACGUGUGCAACCUGCCUUUAUCUGGGGGAUAGCCUUUCGAAAGGAAGAUUAAUACCCCAUAAUAUACUGAAUGGCAUCAUUCGGUAUUGAAAACUCCGGUGGAUAGAGAUGGGCACGCGCAAGAUUAGAUAGUUGGUGAGGUAACGGCUCACCAAGUCUACGAUCUUUAGGGGGCCUGAGAGGGUGAUCCCCCACACUGGUACUGAGACACGGACCAGACUCCUACGGGAGGCAGCAGUGAGGAAUAUUGGACAAUGGGUGAGAGCCUGAUCCAGCCAUCCCGCGUGAAGGACGACGGCCCUAUGGGUUGUAAACUUCUUUUGUAUAGGGAUAAACCUACCCUCGUGAGGGUAGCUGAAGGUACUAUACGAAUAAGCACCGGCUAACUCCGUGCCAGCAGCCGCGGUAAUACGGAGGGUGCAAGCGUUAUCCGGAUUUAUUGGGUUUAAAGGGUCCGUAGGCGGAUCUGUAAGUCAGUGGUGAAAUCUCACAGCUUAACUGUGAAACUGCCAUUGAUACUGCAGGUCUUGAGUGUUGUUGAAGUAGCUGGAAUAAGUAGUGUAGCGGUGAAAUGCAUAGAUAUUACUUAGAACACCAAUUGCGAAGGCAGGUUACUAAGCAACAACUGACGCUGAUGGACGAAAGCGUGGGGAGCGAACAGGAUUAGAUACCCUGGUAGUCCACGCCGUAAACGAUGCUAACUCGUUUUUGGAAUGUAAGUUUCAGAGACUAAGCGAAAGUGAUAAGUUAGCCACCUGGGGGAGUACGAACGCAAGUUUGAAACUCAAAGGAAUUGACGGGGGCCCGCACAAGCGGUGGAUUAUGUGGUUUAAUUCGAUGAUACGCGAGGAACCUUACCAAGGCUUAAAUGGGAAAUGACAGGUUUAGAAAUAGACUUUUCUUCGGACAUUUUUCAAGGUGCUGCAUGGUUGUCGUCAGCUCGUGCCGUGAGGUGUUAGGUUAAGUCCUGCAACGAGCGCAACCCCUGUCACUAGUUGCCAUCAUUAAGUUGGGGACUCUAGUGAGACUGCCUACGCAAGUAGAGAGGAAGGUGGGGAUGACGUCAAAUCAUCACGGCCCUUACGCCUUGGGCCACACACGUAAUACAAUGGCCGGUACAGAGGGCAGCUACACUGCGAAGUGAUGCAAAUCUCGAAAGCCGGUCUCAGUUCGGAUUGGAGUCUGCAACUCGACUCUAUGAAGCUGGAAUCGCUAGUAAUCGCGCAUCAGCCAUGGCGCGGUGAAUACGUUCCCGGGCCUUGUACACACCGCCCGUCAAGCCAUGGAAGUCUGGG
rnacentral:rRNA from 1 species